AGGAUGUGGCGUGCUUACCAUGCAGUCGAACGAGAAACGGAUCUAGCUUGCUAAAUUGCAGUCUAAGUGGCGCACGGGUGAGUAAUGUAUAGGUAACAUGCCUUUUAGUAGGGGAUAACAGAUGGAAACGUCUGCUAAUACCCUAUAUUCCUUAUUAGCGUAAGUGUGUAAGGGAAAGAUUUAUUGCUAAAAGAUUGGCCUAUAUUGUAUCAGCUAGUUGGUAGUGUAAUGGACUACCAAGGCUAUGACGCAUAACUGGUUUGAGGGGAUGAUCAGUCACACUGGAACUGAGACACGGUCCAGACUCCUACGGGAGGCAGCAGUGGGGAAUAUUGCACAAUGGGGGAAACCCUGAUGCAGCAACGCCGCGUGGAGGAUGACACAUUUCGGUGCGUAAACUCCUUUUAUAAGAGAAGAUAAUGACGGUAUCUUAUGAAUAAGCACCGGCUAACUCCGUGCCAGCAGCCGCGGUAAUACGGAGGGUGCAAGCGUUACUCGGAAUCACUGGGCGUAAAGAGCGUGUAGGCGGAUUUGUAAGUUGGGAGUGAAAGCCUAUGGCUCAACCAUAGAACUGCUUCCAAAACUGCAUGUCCAGAGUGUGGGAGAGGUAGAUGGAAUUUCUGGUGUAGGGGUAAAAUCCGUAGAGAUCAGAAGGAAUACCGAUUGCGAAGGCGAUCUACUGGAACAUAACUGACGCUGAGACGCGAAAGCGUGGGGAGCAAACAGGAUUAGAUACCCUGGUAGUCCACGCCCUAAACGAUGUACACUAGUUGUUGUGAGGUUCGACCUUGCAGUAAUGCAGUUAACACAGUAAGUGUACCGCCUGGGGAGUACGGUCGCAAGAUUAAAACUCAAAGGAAUAGACGGGGACCCGCACAAGCGGUGGAGCAUGUGGUUUAAUUCGAAGAUACGCGAAGACCUUACCUGGACUUGACAUUGAAAGAAUCCUGUAGAGAUACGGAGUGCUAGCUUGCUAGAGCUUGAAAACAGGUGCUGCCCGGCUGUCGUCAG
rnacentral:rRNA from 1 species